rnacentral:rRNA from 1 species
UACACGCUGUGACUAGCAUAUCAAUAAGCGGAGGAAAAGAAACUAACAAGGAUUCCCCUAGUAACGGCGAGUGAAGCGGGAAGAGCUCAAAUUUGAAAUCUUAAAGGGUUUCCCUUUACGAAUUGUAGUUUAAAGAAGUGUUUUCUGUUGAGGUUUUGGUAAAAGUUCUUUGGAAUAGGACAUCAUAGAGGGUGAGAAUCCCGUAUUUGACCUUUACUUUCAACUUUGUGAUACACUUUCAAAGAGUCGGAUUGUUUGGGAAUGCAGUCCAAAAUGGGUGGUAAAUUUCAUCUAAAGCUAAAUAUUGGCGAGAGACCGAUAGCGAACAAGUACCGUGAGGGAAAGAUGAAAAGAACUUUGAAAAGAGAGUUAAACAGUACGUGAAAUUGUCAAAAGGGAAGCGUUUGACACCAGUAUUGUUUUUCUGAAAAUCAAUUAAAGAACUGUUUAUGCUAAGUUGUUUAGACUUUAUCAGCUAACUGUUUAGUUUUGAGCUUUUCUUUAAUGCACUUUUCAGUUAACAAGUCAACAUCAAUUUCUUUUGCUGUAAAAAAGCUUGAGGAAGGUGGCUUGAGAUUCGUCUUAAGUGUUUAUAGCCUCUUGCCUAUGCAGUCGGAGAGAUUGAGGUCUGCAGCGUAGAUCCUUCGGGGCUAAAUGCAUUUGUGCUAAGUUAUAGCAUUUUAUAGACAACUUGUUGACUAUGAUUUGUCUUGUAGCUUACUCGCUUAUGUUAUUUUACCUACGCUUAGGAUGUUGACAGCAGUAUAGACUGU